CAAUUUGAAUCGCAUGAUUCAAAUUUAAAAGAUGGCUUCGGCUAUCACUUUGGGAUGGACCUGCGGCGCAUUAGCUUGUUGGUAGGGUAACGGCCUACCAAGGCUGUGAUGCGUAGCCGAGUUGAGAGACUGAUCGGCCACAAUGGAACUGAGACACGGUCCAUACUCCUACGGGAGGCAGCAGUAGGGAAUCUUCCACAAUGGGCGCAAGCCUGAUGGAGCAACACCGCGUGAGUGAAGAAGGGUUUCGGCUCGUAAAGCUCUGUUGUUAGAGAAGAACGUGCGUGAGAGUAACUGUUCACGCAGUGACGGUAUCUAACCAGAAAGUCACGGCUAACUACGUGCCAGCAGCCGCGGUAAUACGUAGGUGGCAAGCGUUAUCCGGAUUUAUUGGGCGUAAAGCGAGCGCAGGCGGUUUGAUAAGUCUGAUGUGAAAGCCUUUGGCUUAACCAAAGAAGUGCAUCGGAAACUGUCAGACUUGAGUGCAGAAGAGGACAGUGGAACUCCAUGUGUAGCGGUGGAAUGCGUAGAUAUAUGGAAGAACACCAGUGGCGAAGGCGGCUGUCUGGUCUGCAACUGACGCUGAGGCUCGAAAGCAUGGGUAGCGAACAGGAUUAGAUACCCUGGUAGCCCAUGCCGUAAACGAUGAGUGCUAGGUGUUGGAGGGUUUCCGCCCUUCAGUGCCGCAGCUAACGCAUUAAGCACUCCGCCUGGGGAGUACGACCGCAAGGUUGAAACUCAAAGGAAUUGACGGGGGCCCGCACAAGCGGUGGAGCAUGUGGUUUAAUUCGAAGCUACGCGAAGAACCUUACCAGGUCUUGACAUCUUGCGCCAACCCUAGAGAUAGGGCGUUUCCUUCGGGAACGCAAUGACAGGUGGUGCAUGGUCGUCGUCAGCUCGUGUCGUGAGAUGUUGGGUUAAGUCCCGCAACGAGCGCAACCCUUGUUACUAGUUGCCAGCAUUCAGUUGGGCACUCUAGUGAGACUGCCGGUGACAAACCGGAGGAAGGUGGGGACGACGUCAGAUCAUCAUGCCCCUUAUGACCUGGGCUACACACGUGCUACAAUGGACGGUACAACGAGUCGCGAACUCGCGAGGGCAAGCUAAUCUCUUAAAACCGUUCUCAGUUCGGACUGCAGGCU
rnacentral:rRNA from 1 species